CGAACGCUGGCGGCAGGCUUAACACAUGCAAGUCGAGCGGGCGUAGCAAUACGUCAGCGGCAGACGGGUGAGUAACGCGUGGGAACGUACCUUUUGGUUCGGAACAACACAGGGAAAACUUGUGCUAAUACCGGAUAAGCCCCUACGGGGAAAGAUUUAUCGCCGAAAGAUCGGCCCGCGUCUGAUUAGCUAGUUGGUAGGGUAAUGGCCUACCAAGGCGACGAUCAGUAGCUGGUCUGAGAGGAUGAUCAGCCACAUUGGGACUGAGACACGGCCCAAACUCCUACGGGAGGCAGCAGGUGGGGAAUAUUGGACAAUGGGGGCAACCCUGAUCCAGCCAUGCCGCGUGAGUGAUGAAGGCCCUAGGGUUGUAAAGCUCUUUUGUGCGGGAAGAUAAUGACGGUACCGCAAGAAUAAGCCCCGGCUAACUUCGUG
rnacentral:rRNA from 1 species